UAAAGGCUAGCAUUGUAGUGGUCUCCACAUUAUCGUCUUUUAGACGUUGCCUCCGAUCAUUUAUAACAAUGUUAUACAUACUAAAAUACCUUUCCGCAUCCACACUAUUGGUUGGACUAUUGAGGCUUUGAAUAGCUGCUUUCGCAAAGUGAGGGUCGCACAAUUUUGUAGCUAUUAAAAUCUGCAUUACAUCAACAGUAGUUCCUUGGCUGACAAUUUGAAGCAGUUUCCGAUGAAAAUGAGUAUACCCAUCUAUCAGUUCUUCCUGUGGUACAUCUUUGAAGAAUGGAAUUUUCUCGAAACUUUCCGAUGUUUGACUUGUAUUCAAAGAUGAUGUGGACACGACCGCUGCUUCAGAUAGACAAAAUAAUCUGCCAAUCUGCUGCUCUUCUGAGCCGCUGUCUUCAACAUAUCGCUGUGAUCUUGUGCAUUUUCAGUGGAUAAAAUACUUUUUAUGUUUUCUCCAAAAGAACCUUCACAUUGACGCUCGAGAGAGGACUUUAAGUCUACUCCACAACAUGUGCGCAAACGGAUAGUUGGAUCCCUCUAAAUUGUCAAUCAAUUUCAUUAUUUUUGGACAGAACUCAGACACAAAUGUCAUUUGAACUCGUAUUUUACCAGCCAGAGUGUCAUUUUCGAAGCAAUCUUUCAGUUUUUAGUGUGGUGACAUCGCGCAACGCGCGCGCAAACGAGUUUAGCGGCGCACGCUAAACCACUCUCCCACUUGUCCAAACCGCGCCCCCACCGCCUACGACGGUCUUUAUAAGGAGACGCGCGACAAGUGGAACUCAUUCUAACCCGGCUUCCUAGUAGGGAAAGAAUCAUAAAGCCCAGCGCUGUCCUAUAGCCUGGCAGAAAGUCCCCGGCUACAUAGUAGGGGCAUCGAGACGGCACUCCGACAUCGCGAGGAUUCAUGUCACCAACUCCAACGACGCCGAGAGCAGAGCGGAAGGCCCGCCGCAAUGCAAUAAGGCAUGUCCCACAGCGAUCACGAAUGCCGCGACUGUUAAGCCCUCUACCGCCAUCGCCAGUCAAACGACCACCAACGCCUGUCCGUCCAACGUGGAAGCUAAUACUCAUCGAGACACCGACGCCAUACGCCAGGGUUGCACUGAGCCGUCUACCGAGUAACGACCCCCGACGGAACAUAAACGCCAUCGACAUGUAAAUUAUUAUAAAUAUGUUUUGUAUUCUAGUGUAUAAAUAAUCCCACCGUUAAAAGAACCACAAAACCGCCA